rnacentral:rRNA from 1 species
AUGUUUUCAUACAUUUCUAAAUACAUGGAAGUUCAUUUUAAAGCAAAUUUCAGCGGUGGAAUGGUGCGUGGCUGUUCUAGUCACGGCGCGUUGGUGAUCUCUGUCUUAAAAGUGACAUCGCGGCAGGUCGCUUUGAGUAAGAGGGCAUCAAAGGGUGAUGGUGUCAAAGAUUUGGAGCUAGCGCUGUUGUUGGAUCUUGGCUUAAAUAGGCGUGAGCAGGCCAAGCCAUUAGGGCAUGUACAAUUGUUUAGACAAGAGUUGUCUGUAAUACUCCGCGAUAUCACUAGGCUGUACUAUCGACACGUUACAAUGCACGAUAUGAGCGGCCGAUGCACCGUCUAUACUCCCUCGGUCUGGAAAUACUUCCACUUUUUGGUUAAUCUCUUUCCUCUACCUGACAAAGAUCUAACGAGGCGUGUAUUACAGAUGGCUGACUAG